GUGGGGAAUCUUGCGCAAUGGGCGAAAGCCUGACGCAGCCAUGCCGCGUGAAUGAUGAAGGUCUUAGGAUUGUAAAAUUCUUUCACCGGGGACGAUAAUGACGGUACCCGGAGAAGAAGCUCCGGCUAACUUCGUGCCAGCAGCCGCGGUAAUACGAAGGGGGCUAGCGUUGCUCGGAAUUACUGGGCGGAAAGGGCGCGUAGGCGGACAGCUUAGUCAGAGGUGAAAGCCCAGGGCUCAACCUUGGAAUUGCCUUUGAUACUGGCUGUCUUGAGUUUGGGAGAGGUGAGUGGAACUCCGAGUGUAGAGGUGAAAGUCGUAGAUAUUCGGAAGAACACCAGUGGCGAAGGCGACUCACUGGCCCGUUACUGACGCUGAGGCGCGAAAGCGUGGGGAGCAAACAGGAUUAGAAACCCCUGUAGUCC
rnacentral:rRNA from 1 species